UUUAAGUUGUAUGUCAGAAAAAAACUUUUAAAAAAUAUAAUUUCAACAAGGACACUUACUAGUGUACAAAAGUCCCCAAUAAGACCCUCAGCGGACAGGCUGAUGUUAUCACAAAAUGGCUUGAGGGCAAGUUUUACUCCAGCUACUAUAUCUAGCUGAUGCAAUAUUACAGAACAGAGCAAAACUAGAAAAAUGUCUUUCCCAUGACUUUCACUUCAGAAUCAGUUUUACAAUUCCCUAACAUUUCCAUGACCAUCAGGACCCUUAUUCCUGUACCACAGAUCAAAACACACAUCUCAUUUCUGCUCUCUUCUGUGCUGGAUGGUGGAACUCUGUCCUCUGAAAGGAGAGAAGUAAUGACAAUACUCAGACUGACAGGAAAUGAGCAGAUAUAUAGAGCUCGUCUCAAAAGGCUAAAUUUAAGGUGCCUGUUACUUAAUCCCCAUAAUGCCUCACCAAGCAUGAGCCGCCACAUCCUCCUCAUCUGCGAAGAGAAUCCAUCCUGUGUGCUUAUUUAUUUCGCCUCCUGCUACAGGGAACACUCCGAAGUCUCUUCCAUAACGGUGAUAGAGCAUUCGGAUGGCUGCGGAUCUGACAAUACCGUACCCGACUGGAAGUGGUGGAGGAGCGGAUCAAUAAAAUGAAUUAGCUGCUUUCGAUAACAGGGAGAUUCGAAGCAGAAAAUGAGAUGUUACUAAUUGAAAAAGAUGCAGAGCUGAAUGCUCUCCAGCUACAGAAAGGAAAGAUCCAUGUGGAAGCCAGGCUUAUCGGCACCCGGCCUCCUCGCAGCUGCUCGUCUGGGAAAGCAUUUCUUUCGACUAACUCAACAUACGGAAGGAUUUUCACAGUUGGAGACACACUUCACAUACAGUCUUGGAGCUGCAGUCCCUGUUUGACCCUGGUUAGUUGAGUCGUCUCAGGCUGAUGCACCGCUCACCUGGUUGUGUUUGAUCUCGUCAUUUGAAGUCUCGUACGAGUUCCGGAACAAUGUGGAUGUUCCACAGGAGGUUUGAACUGCGGGAUGAAAGCCAGAGUGUGAAUGUGCAGAGAAUCUUAUUUUAUAAAUCAAGCAUUAAACAACUAUGAAAAAUUCUGGAAAUUGUACUCAUUGACAGUGAAACAAAUCCAACCUUUUAUAAGAUUCUCUAGCAGGGAUGUAGCUAGGAGUUCUGGGUGUUUUGUUUCAACCAAAUUUAAAGGGAUAGUUCACCCAAAAAUUCUGUCAUCAUUUUCUCCCCUCAAGUUGUUCCAAACCUGUAUAAAUUUGUUCUGCUGAACACAAAGGAAGAUAUUUGGAAGAAUGUAUGUAACCAAGGAUAUCACGCGCCCCAUUGACUACCAUAGUAGGAAAUAAAAAUACUAUGGUAGUCAAUGGGGGGC